rnacentral:rRNA from 1 species
GACGGAGGAGGCAAGCGUUAUCCGGAAUUAUUGGGCGUAAAGCGUCCGCAGGCGGCUUUUUAAGUCUGUUGUCAAAGCCCACAGCUCAACUGUGGAUCGGCAAUGGAAACUGGGAAGCUAGAGUGUGGUAGGGGUAGAGGGAAUUCCCGGUGUAGCGGUGAAAUGCGUAGAUAUCGGGAAGAACACCAGUGGC